rnacentral:rRNA from 1 species
AACGAACGCUGGCGGCGUGGAUAAGACAUGCAAGUCGAACGGGACAAGUAGCAAUAUUUGUCUAGUGGCGAACGGGUGCGUAACACGCGGGCAACAUGCCUGGAAGAGCGGGAUAGCCCGGGGAAACUCGGAUUAAUACCGCAUGUGACAACGGGGCGGAUUCGCCCUGUUUUCAAAGGUGGGGACCGCAAGGCCUGCCGCUUCCAGAUUGGCCCGCGUCCAAUCAGCUAGUUGGCGGGGUAACGGCCCACCAAGGCGACGACGGGUAGCUGGUCUGAGAGGACGACCAGCCACACUGGAACUGAGACACGGUCCAGACACCUACGGGUGGCAGCAGUCGAGAAUCUUUCACAAUGGGGGAAACCCUGAUGGAGCGACGCCGCGUGGAGGAUGACGGUCUUCGGAUUGUAAACUCCUGUCAUGAAAGAACAAGCGGAGCGGGUGAACAGCCCGCCGAGUUGAUAGUAUUUCAAGAGGAAGGGACGGCUAACUUCGUGCCAGCAGCCGCCGUAAAAC